AAAUCGCCCAGACAGCUAGGAGGUUGGCUUAGAAGCAGCCAUCCUUUAAAGAAAGCGUAAUAGCUCACUAGUCAAGGGGUUUUGCGCCUAUAAUUUCCGGGACUAAGUAUUGCACCGAAGCUAUGGAUUUUAAUAGUUUACUAUUAAAGUGGUAGGUGAGCGUUCUAUUAACCUGUGAAGGUUGACCCGUGAGGGCAGCUGGAGGAGAUGGAAAUGAGUAUGCUGGCAUGAGUAGCGAUAAACACGGUGAAAUACCGUGUCGCCGAAAGUCCAAGGUUUCCUGAGUAAAGUAACUCUGCUCAGGGUUAGUCGGACCCUAAGCCGAGGCCGAAAGGCGUAGGCGAUGGAAAACGGGUUUAAUAUUCCCGUACCAGUUUUUAAUCGUUAUAACUAUGGGGGGACGCAGAAGUGAAAGGUCAGCCCGGUUUUGAUUGUCCGGGUUUAAGUGCGUAGAAGGGUUUGGUAGGUAAAUCCGCCGAACUAUUAACUUUGAGACACGAAUAGGAGGGCUUAGCCCAUAAACUGACCCUAAUCCUGCUGCCAAGAAAAUCCUCUGUGUAAGAUUAUAAACUGACCGUACCCCAAACGGACACACGUGGACGAGGAGAGUAUCCUAAGGCGCUUGAGAGAAUCCAGGUUAAGGAACUCGGCAAAUUAACCCCGUAACUUCGGGAGAAGGGGUGCCUUGAUUAGGUGAACACCUUUACGGUGGAAGCUGAAAAAGGCCGCAGUGACCAGGCCCAAACGACUGUUUACUAAAAACACAGGUCUCUGCUAAAUCGUAAGAUGAAAUAUAGGGACUGACACCUGCCCGGUGCCGGAAGGUUAAAUGGAAGUGUUAGCUUCGGCAAAGCUCCGAAAUGAAGCCCCGGUAAACGGCGGCCGUAACUAUAACGGUCCUAAGGUAGCGAAAUUCCUUGUCGGGUAAGUUCCGACCUGCACGAAUGGUGCAACGAUUUGGGCACUGUCUCAACCUGGAGCUCAGCGAAAUUGAAGUGUCGGUGAAGAUACCGGCUACCCGCGGCAGGACGAAAAGACCCCGUGAACCUUUACUACAGCUUGACAUUGGGUUUUGGUUCUAUAUGUGUAGGAUAGGUGGGAGGCUAUGAAGUUUCAGCGCUAGUUGGAAUGGAGCCAUCCUUGAAAUACCACCCUUAUAUUUCCGGAAUUCUAAUCCCGACCCUUGAAUCAGGGCGAGAAACAUUGUCAGGUGGGUA
rnacentral:rRNA from 1 species